AUUGAACGCUGGCGGCAUGCUUUACACAUGCAAGUCGAACGGACCUAGGGGCUUGCUCCUAGGUUAGUGGCGAACGGGUGAGUAAUGCAUCGGAACGUACCGUGUAGUGGGGGAUAACGCAGCGAAAGUUGUGCUAAUACCGCAUACAAUCUACGGAUGAAAGCAGGGGAUCGCAAGACCUUGUGCUAUACGAGCGGCCGAUGUCGGAUUAGCUAGUUGGUGAGGUAAAGGCUCACCAAGGCGACGAUCCGUAGCGGGUCUGAGAGGAUGAUCCGCCACACUGGGACUGAGACACGGCCCAGACUCCUACGGGAGGCAGCAGUGGGGAAUUUUGGACAAUGGGCGCAAGCCUGAUCCAGCCAUGCCGCGUGAGUGAAGAAGGCCUC
rnacentral:rRNA from 1 species